UCAUGACCUGAGGUGAGGACAGACACUAAACUGACUGAGCCACCCAGACAGCCCUUAUGGAGCUUCCUCCCCGAAGUUGUCUGUAGUCUGGAAUGCAGCCUAUCUCACUGGGUUUCCCAGGUUCUUGCUAGCAGGUCCUAGACUGGCCCUCCUACAGGAACUGAAGCUACCUUCUGCUUCAUUCCCACUGACUAGCAAACCCAGAGCUUUGUUUCUCCCCCACAUGACACUGAAAACCUAUGGGCCUGCUGCAGGCUCCACUGAAAAAGGACUCCCUGACCACUUGCCCUUGUCUCCUUCUACCCCAGAGAGGAAAUAGCAAUCCCCCAGGACACAUGUGUUGGGAGGCCGGCAGCGGGGCUCUGUUCCAGCCCUUGGAAUCUUGCGAAUGGGGGGAACCUAGCACUCUGGCUCUCCUUCCAGAUAAGAUAAAGUUUCCUUUUGUUACUGUUGCCUUAGGAGUUGACCUUGCCAGGGGCCAAAAAUGUUAAUGAGGUCCCAAGAGGAAACCUGCCAGGUGGACUGAGCUCUGAACUGAAAGUCACAUGGGACUAGGAGGAUUCCCAGAGGUGUGACUUCGGGCAAAUCAGGUUGCCUUUCUGAGCCUGCCUUGCCAGGGGUUGGCAAGACAAUGAGACAACACUGCAAUGUUUGUGGCUUUGGAAAGGUGCUCAUCAUACGUUGGUCUGCAAAAACAGGUCACAAAAAGUUGCCUCCGUGACCAUGAAUUACAUAUUUAUCAGCUAUUUCCAGAACAGUGCUGCAGAACAGAGCAGCCCCGGAACCAGUGGCUUACAUCACAAGGAUCUAUUCUUGUGCUCAUGGUCUGCAGUUAGACUGAUGUGGGCUGGCCUUGGCGGGGCUGCUCUGGCAGGUCACCAGAGCCCGAAGUGCACAAGUAUCUAGAAAGCCCCUGCCUACAUCAUUUCAAUAAUGUAUCAUUGGCUAAAGCAAGACACACGUUGGCCAAGCCCAGCAUCGAGGGAGCAGGGAAGUGAGUAUACACCACUGCAAGGGGAGGGAAAUGAAGGUAUGUUGAAUAAUGGCCCAGAUUUACUAGUUAUCAUUUGCAUAACAAAAUGAGCAUGCUGUACUUCGUGAGAUGUAUUCAUAUCGUCCACUAGAGAGAAUCCUAUAAGGCUCCCUAAGGAUAAGAUAGGGAGCCAUUGUAUUACCUUGUUAGAGGUCAGAAGAAAUGUUCAAGGGAUAGGCUGACCGUCUCUUCCCUCAGCCUCUCUGUCCCUUUAAGACAACCAGACGCUACCAUCAUUGACACCUGCAGUCCCACAAAAGAAGGUGGAAAACACAGGCUAUGGGCGAUUAUAGCCAAAGGCCAGACAUUUGCUAGUUCCCGUCCAGAUCUGUUUGAAUCCACUUCCUGAUGAUUUCCUCUCUUCUGGCUUCUCUCAGUUCAUUCAGCCAUUCACUCAAGAAAUAUUUACUGACCACCUACUAUGUGCUGGCACACUUCCAGCAAGGAUGGGGUUAUGUUGGAGAAUAAGGCGAGUAUCAAUGCAUAAGAAAAUCUCCCUAGAGUAUACAUUCUAGUGGGGAGAUGGAAUGGGUGCUGGGUGUGGUGGGAAAUGGUAGUGAUGUUGAUAAUGCCAAGUAGUGUAAAUGCUAAGAAUGAAAUAAAAUAGGGUAGCGCUCCUGAAAUCAAUAGGGCAGGGCAGGGCAGGGCUACUUUGGGAGAUGAAAUUAGGGAAGAACCCUGAGUAAGUGCUGUUGUAAGUCAUUAGAGGUGCCUCUUAGAAUCUGAUAUUUCUAUCUGGGCCCUCCAGACUUGACUGUGAGUCCCACUUAAGAACUCGGCUUGGAUUUUUCCCACCAGCUCACUCCCUACUUUGGCCUGUUUUGGGGAGCUUUCCUAUCCUAGCUGUCUUUCUGAACCCAGCUCAGCUUCCCAUUGGCUGGCUGGUGCCCCAAUCAGCUUAACUAGUUCUCAUCAUAGAAGAUACCCUGGGGAGCCUUGUGACCCUUGAUCUCAGGAUCAGUGGGUUCAAGCCUCACAUUGGGCA